rnacentral:rRNA from 1 species
UACGAAGGGUGCAAGCGUUAAUCGGAAUUACUGGGCGUAAAGCGUGCGUAGGCGGUUGGCUAAGUCAGAUGUGAAAGCCCUGGGCUCAACCUGGGAAUGGCAUUUGAAACUGGCUGGCUAGAGUGUGAUAGAGGAUGGCGGAAUUCCCGGUGUAGCGGUGAAAUGCGUAGAGAUCGGGAGGAACAUCCGUGGCGAAGGCGGCAUCCUGGACCAAUAUUGACGCUGAGGAGCGAAAGCCAGGGGAGCAAACGGU